GAUGAACGCUGGCGGCGUGCCUAAUUCAUGCAAGUCGAGCGAACAGACGAGGAGCUUGCUCCUUUGACGUUAGCGGCGGACGGGUGAGUAACACGUAGGUAACCUACCUAUAAGACUGGGAUAACUUCGGGAAACCGGAGCUAAUACCGGAUAAUAUUUCGAACCGCAUGGUUCGAUAGUGAAAGAUGGCUUUGCUAUCACUUAUAGAUGGACCUGCGCCGUAUUAGCUAGUUGGUAAGGUAACGGCUUACCAAGGCAACGAUACGUAGCCGACCUGAGAGGGUGAUCGGCCACACUGGAACUGAGACACGGUCCAGACUCCUACGGGAGGCAGCAGUAGGGAAUCUUCCGCAAUGGGCGAAAGCCUGACGGAGCAACGCCGCGUGAGUGAUGAAGGUCUUCGGAUCGUAAAACUCUGUUAUUAGGGAAGAACAAACGUGUAAGUAACUGUGCACGUCUUGACGGUACCUAAUCAGAAAGCCACGGCUAACUACGUG
rnacentral:rRNA from 1 species